rnacentral:rRNA from 1 species
UAUUGAUCCUGCCGGACCUGACUGCUAUCGGUUUGGUACUAAGCCAUGCGAGUCGUUGUAGCAAUACAAGGCGGACUGCUCAGUAACACGUAGUUAACUUAACCUAUGAAUGGGCAUAACCUCGGGAAACUGAGAAUAAUACCCAAUGGACCACAGUGCCUGGAAUGGCCUGUGGUUGAAAUGAUUUAUCGCCGUAGGAUAGGACUGCGGCCUAUCAGCUUGUUGGUGAGGUAAUGGCCCACCAAGGCUAUAACAGGUACGGGCUCUGAGAGGAGGGGCCCGGAGAUGGGUACUGAGACACGGACCCAGGCCCUAUGGGGCGCAGCAGGCGAGAAACCUUUGCAAUGUGCGAAAGCACGACAAGGUUAAUCCGAGUGUCUCCUGCUAAAGGAGUCUUUUGUCAGUUGUAGAAUCACUGGUGAAUAAGGGGUGGGCAAGUUCUGGUGUCAGCCGCCGCGGUAAAACCAGCACCUCGAGUGGUCAGGAGGUUUAUUGGGCCUAAAGCAUCCGUAGCCGGUUGCAUAAGUUUUCGGUUAAAUCUAUGCGCUUAACGUAUAGGCCG